rnacentral:rRNA from 1 species
CCUGGUGGUCAUAGAGAAGGGGAAAUACCCGAUCCCAUUCCGAACUCGGAAGUCAAGCCCUUCUUCGCCGAUGGUACUGUGCACAAGAGCACGGGAGAGUAGGGCGCCGCCAGGU